GUGGGGGAUUUUGCACAAUGGGCGCAAGCCUGAUGCAGCGACGCCGCGUGAGGGAUGGAGGCCUUCGGGUUGUGAACCUCUGUCGCCGGUGAUGUAGGCUCUGCUUUGUGGGUGGGGUUGACGGUAGCCGGGGUAUGAAGUGCCGGCUAACUACGUGCCAGCAGCCGCGGUAAUACGUAGGGCGCGAGCGUUGUCCGGAAUUAUUGGGCGUAAAGAGCUCGUAGGCGGCUGGUCGCGUCUGUCGUGAAAUCCUCUGGCUUAACUGGGGGCGUGCGGUGGGUACGGGCCGGCUUGAGUGCGGUAGGGGAGGCUGGAAUUCCUGGUGUAGCGGUGGAAUGCGCAGAUAUCAGGAGGAACACCGGUGGCGAAGGCGGGUCUCUGGGCCGUGUACUGACGCUGAGGAGCGAAAGCGUGGGGAGCGAACAGGAUUAGAAACCCUAGUAGUCC
rnacentral:rRNA from 1 species